AGCUCCUGAGAUAGAAUAUUUAGUAAUAUGUUAGUGAUAUAUUUUCUGCGUUAUUAAAAAAGCAAAGCAUUAAAUGUGGUUUACCUGCUGGGACAUUUUUUAUCACAGACCUCAAUUUCAGAAAAGAAAUUCUUUCCAACUCCACAGUGUGGGCAGCCAGAGUGGUCCUGUUUAUUUAAAUAAACCUGGUUUACCCCACAGUGGAAUCUGAUAGAGGUUUAACCAACUGCGAUCCCUGGCCUCAAAAUGGCUACAAGAUGGUGCUGUGCUUGCCCUGACCAGGCCCUCCUGUGCAGCAGGAACUGAUGUGUGUUAUUUUGGAUAUGCAAAACUGCUCCACUCCUGUGAGAACAGCAGGGAAAGCCGCAUUCCUUCCAAGUGUUUGAAACCUGAUCUCCAGUACCAGUCCAUGGACAGGCAUUUCUCGCUAAAAAAGAGCAGGUGCAGUGAUCAUCCUUACUAUGUCAUAUAUUACAAAACUCAAACCUGUCCUCCACUCUCUAUUUUAGAUACUUUUGCUUGACUCCACCUCCAAUUCCAGCUUAUUUGGUUGGGCUCUGGAUAUCAGAGGUUCAGGAUACGGGUCACUGCUGCCUUUCCCUGCAAAGCUACAUGAGAAGCCUGUGCCCAUCUGGCAUUCACUGCUGCUCAGUUGAGCCAGACAGUUUAAAGUCCAUUUCUGGAUGGAUUUCAUUUUACCCUCUUGUGUUGGUUCUCCUGAAGCUGAAGCAGAUGCUAUACCAUAUUCUGAGGUAACUUCUGUUGAAAAUUAUCUUUAUCUGUUAUUUUUCAAGAUUUUAUGUUAAAGAUACAGUUCUAAUCCAAUAAUAUUUUUUCAUACUAAUGGCAAUAAUUACACACAUAGGACGCUGUAAGCAGGCAAGAAAGAAUCAAAAUUCUUAAAUUCUGUUUCCCAGUAAGCAGACCCUAACUUUGCUUUUCAAACUUAAAUUACCUGAGGGCAAAGAUUAUUAAACACUUAGAACUUGUUUGUCUACACAGCUGCAUUGCUCUAAUGAUUAUGUUACAUUUUCAAUGAAAUGUAAUAUUUUGCUAAAAAGCUCCUGUUUAGAUCUGUUAGUGACCCAGAAUGAAUUCUCCCAAAAUUUAAUAGUCCUUUUGACUGCUGAAUAACUGAACAUAUGCUUGUGUUUCCUGCUUUAUCCAGUUAAUAGUCAAAAGGUCUUUUAAUUUUUACAAUUUAUUUACAAUAUUUAGGGGAAAAAAUAUUUGAGUAUUGAAUUUAAAAAGCUUGUUUCUCCUACUCUCCCUAAGCACAAGUUUAAUAAUUAUUUGUUGGUGUCACAAGCAUAAAUUAAAGGUAGUCUAAAAGUCUGACUAUUACUAACCUCUGGCAGUGUAACAGGGCAGUUGCCUUAAAGACUGACGUGAAAGAAAAGUAAAUUAAGCAAAUGCAGUACUGAAAUGCUACCUGUUGAAAGUUUUAAUAAAUGAGAAGCUGGUAAGGUUGACUUACUCAACUGAUAGUUUCCUGUUCAUGUUGCAUGGAGUGGAUUAUAAAAAUUAGGACUCGCUAGUAGUACAAGAGCACAAAAAAUGAAAUGGAGUUUUGAAUUGAUCCCCUACAAAGUAAGGUGCUAACUAAAAAACAAAGCAAAAACCCUCAAUGAAGUUAUUACCUUGGAAUGUUGCUCUUUUAACUUCAUUAUUAUACUUGGAUCAUCCUUUUUGCUUGCCAUAAGCAACCUAAACAUCUGUUCUCUGUACUUGCUCAUGAUGAGUUCCAGAGCUGACUGGUGCUCUUCCAGAGAUGUGCGCAGUUCUGCCAACAGAAUUUAAAAUGCACUUAAGAGUUUAACACAGAGUUAAGUUAAUUUAAUUUAAAUGCAGUCUAGAGUUUAACACAGAGAACCAAAUCAAAAUGCACAUGUAUUGCAGCUUGAGAAAACCGAAAUGAGCCCAUAAUUGAGUGUCCCCAGUCCCUGCACCAUGGAAUCAACACAGGCUCUGCCAGUGGCUUUGAUGGCGACCAGCCUGGGACAAUUCCUGGUUAGUAACAAACAGUCUUUUGUUAGUGUGACUUUCUGUUCAGCCCCUGUGGCUGACAGAAGCAUCUGGAGUGUGGCUGAGCAGCUUUACCCCAGCCACUACAAGCCACACUCUAUGAAAGGCAGGAAAGAGUUCACAGGUCUGUCUUAAUCUGCAGCUGGGUAAAACCAGAGUUGAAAAAUGCUCCUGUUCAAAAUCUACUGAGACAAAGGAUAAAUAACUCCUGAGUUAAGGCAAGACUCAUCUGAACUGAGCUCACGGAAUCCUUUGCUGAGUGGAACUGUUAGAAUAUCUAAGGCUUUCCUGGAGGAACAGUGCAUUCCUAGUGUACAGAAUUCCAGAUGGAAUUAUACUUCUCUGCUUACACCAUGACUGUUCCUAUUAUUUUCAGCACUGGUUAAACAGGUCUCCAAAAGGAUCCCUAUCUUGCAGAAUUAUGUUCUAUUUAUCUCCUCACUCGUGCUGGAGAUUAGGUAAGGACUGAAAAAAGUGAUUUUUCCCAAAUCUCUUUUUCUUCAUCAGUCCCAGAGUUUGGACUUUAGGACUCUUGAAUUGAAUUAUGAUCAGUUAAAUUGACAAAUUAAAAUUAGAAGAAAAAAUUUCUUGUAGAGAUCUGUUUUGAAAAAAGAUCAGUGGUAAAAGUCUCACUAUUUCCAGUGCUACAGGCUGGAGCUUGGAAAGGAUAGAGUAUUUAUAUUUUACCUUUGUUUUCCUGUUGCAAUUCCCUAAUCUGUCUGUUUUCCUGCUGGAUACCCAUCACUAGAGUAGACCGAGGGCGAUGUCUUGCUACUUCAUUGAGCUCUUGGAUUUCUUCCUGGUACUGGUUAUUACAAAAACAAACCAACAAGGCACAGCACAUUUGAUUAACCAAAGGUAGGUAUUACCCAGCAGGUCACAAAGCACCACUUCUACUGUCAGUCACAGUCUGUAACCAGGAAGACAAUGCUUGCUUUUAAAUAAGAAUAUCAAACACACACACCAGAAGGUGUUGCAGACAUGCUGUCCUUUAGAGACACAAAAGCAUCACCUUUGUUUUGAAGCAAGUUUCAUACCUUAGAUGUGUGUAGUGGAUGCUAUUUAACCUUCAGUUAAUGCAGGCCAAGUUCACCAUCAGGCAAUUUAAAACUCAUAGAUUUGUGGUGAAGACAAACCAUGAGGUAUUAACCUCCUGACAUUUACUGUGGCUUCCCAAAACCUUAAACCACCAGGCUGUGUGGGUACAAGUCACUGGGGCCCGAGUCAAUGGAUCCUGACUCCCAACAGAUGGGGAUAUGUAAUACUCUUGAUGUGAAGCCAUGAAGCAUCUGCCUAGUUUUACAGGGCUGAAUUGCAUGCAGGGUGUUAUGAUGUUAUAGGUCUAUUAACAUAUCUUGGGUUCAUGAAAGGGACAGGAUGGACUGCCAUAUGGAAAGUCACAAGACAUCUUUAUGUUUUCCCAGGAGCUGUCUUGUGAAAGUCACACUCAAUCUAACAAUGUGCCCUAAGCAGCUAAACGUCAGAAUAGAAAUGAGCACAAAAAAGCCCAAGAGGCUAUUUGGAAACAAAAGGAGACAGUGCAAAGACAAAGUAUUCCAUACAGAAGAAAACAUGCCAGAGCCUCUGUAUGAUUAAAUGGGCAUGAUGAAAUUAAUAAAAAUGUGUAGUAUUGCAUUGGAGACCAAACCAAGAGGCGCCACAGAGUGGUUUGUAAGAUACUAAACCCAUUUCUACUACUGUUCUUCAAAUAAAUGCUUGCUUUCAAUAUUUGAA